rnacentral:piRNA from 1 species
UGUGCGUAGUAUCAAUCAAAA